rnacentral:rRNA from 1 species
UACAGGGGGUGCAAACGUUGCUCGGAAUUACUGGGCGUAAAGCGCACGUAGGCGGAUUGUUAAGUCGGGGGUGAAAUCCUGGAGCUCAACUCCAGAACUGCCUUCGAAACUGGCGAUCUUGAGUCCGGGAGAGGUGAGUGGAACUGCGAGUGUAGAGGUGAAAUUCGUAGAUAUUCGCAAGAACACCAGUGGCGAAGGCGGCUCACUGGCCCGGUACUGACGCUGAGGUGCGAAAGCGUGGGGAGCAAACAGG